rnacentral:rRNA from 1 species
GUUGUUGGGUAGGGGAGCGUUCUGUAAGCCUGUGAAGGUGUGUCGUGAGGCAUGCUGGAGGUAUCAGAAGUGCGAAUGCUGACAUAAGUAACGAUAAAGCGGGUGAAAAGCCCGCUCGCCGGAAGACCAAGGGUUCCUGUCCAACGUUAAUCGGGGCAGGGUGAGUCGACCCCUAAGGCGAGGCCGAAAGGCGUAGUCGAUGGGAAACGGGUUAAUAUUCCCGUACUUGGUGUUACUGCGAAGGGGGGACGGAGAAGGCUAUGUUGGCCGGGCGACGGUUGUCCCGGUUUAAGCGUGUAGGUGUGUGUUCCAGGUAAAUCCGGUUCACUUUAACACUGAGGCGUGACGACGAGGCACUACGGUGCUGAAGCAACAAAUGCCCUGCUUCCAGGAAAAGCCUCUAAGCAUCAGGUAACAUCAAAUCGUACCCCAAACCGACACAGGUGGUCAGGUAGAGAAUACCAAGGCGCUUGAGAGAACUCGGGUGAAGGAACUAGGCAAAAUGGUGCCGUAACUUCGGGAGAAGGCACGCUGACAUGUAGGUGAAGUGAUUUACUCAUGGAGCUGAAGUCAGUCGAAGAUACCAGCUGGCUGCAACUGUUUAUUAAAAACACAGCACUGUGCAAACACGAAAGUGGACGUAUACGGUGUGACGCCUGCCCGGUGCCGGAAGGUUAAUUGAUGGGGUCAGCGCAAGCGAAGCUCCUGAUCGAAGCCCCGGUAAACGGCGGCCGUAACUAUAACGGUCCUAAGGUAGCGAAAUUCCUUGUCGGGUAAGUUCCGACCUGCACGAAUGGCGUAAUGAUGGCCAGGCUGUCUCCACCCGAGACUCAGUGAAAUUGAACUCGCUGUGAAGAUGCAGUGUACCCGCGGCAAGACGGAAAGACCCCGUGAACCUUUACUAUAGCUUGACACUGAACAUUGAGCCUUGAUGUGUAGGAUAGGUGGGAGGCUUUGAAGUGUGGACGCCAGUCUGCAUGGAGCCGACCUUGAAAUACCACCCUUUAAUGUUUGAUGUUCUAACGUGGACCCGUUAUCCGGGUUGCGGACAGUGUCUGGUGGGUAGUUUGACUGGGGCGGUCUCCUCCUAAAGAGUAACGGAGGAGCACGAAGGUUGGCUAAUCCUGGUCGGACAUCAGGAGGUUAGUGCAAUGGCAUAAGCCAGCUUGACUGCGAGCGUGACGGCGCGAGCAGGUGCGAAAGCAGGUCAUAGUGAUCCGGUGGUUCUGAAUGGAAGGGCCAUCGCUCAACGGAUAAAAGGUACUCCGGGGAUAACAGGCUGAUACCGCCCAAGAGUUCAUAUCGACGGCGGUGUUUGGCACCUCGAUGUCGGCUCAUCACAUCCUGGGGCUGAAGUAGGUCCCAAGGGUAUGGCUGUUCGCCAUUUAAAGUGGUACGCGAGCUGGGUUUAGAACGUCGUGAGACAGUUCGGUCCCUAUCUGCCGUGGGCGCUGGAGAA